GUGAGGAAUAUUGCGCAAUGGAGGCAACUCUGACGCAGCCAUGCCGCGUGCAGGAAGAAGGCGCUACGCGUUGUAAACUGCUUUUAACCGGGAAGAAACCCCAGGACGUGUCCUGGGUUGACGGUACCGGAGGAAUAAGCACCGGCUAACUUCGUGCCAGCAGCCGCGGUAACACGAAGGGUGCAAGCGUUAUCCGGAUUCAUUGGGGUUAAAGGGUGCGUAGGCGGAGCGUUAAGUCAGUGGUGAAAUACUGCAGCUUAACUGUAGACUGGCCAUUGCUACUGGCGCUCUUGAGUGCGCUUGAAGUGGGCGGAAUGUGCCGUGUAGCGGUGAAAUGCUUAGAUAUGGCACAGAACACCAAUUGCGAAGGCAGCUCACUAAGGCGAUACUGACGCUGAGGCACGAAAGCGUGGGGAUCGAACAGGAUUAGAUACCCGAGUAGUCC
rnacentral:rRNA from 1 species